rnacentral:rRNA from 1 species
CCUAAGGUAGCGAAAUUCCUUGUCAGGUAAGUUCUGACCCGCACGAAAGGUGUAACGAUUUGGGCGCUGUCUCGGCAGCAGACUCGGUGAAAUCUUAGUACCUGUGAAAAUGCAGGUUACCCGCAACUAGACGGAAAGACCCCAUGGAGCUUUACUGCAGCCUGAUAUUGAAUUCUGGUCAUACAUGUACAGGAUAGGUGGGAGACAAAGAGACGUGCACGCCAGUGUACGAGGAGUCGGCGUUGGGAUACCACUCUUGUGUGACCGGGGUUCUAACCUGGUAUCGAGAACAGGUACGGGGAGAGUGUCAGGUGGGCAGUUUGACUGGGGCGGUCGCCUCCCAAAGAGUAACGGAGGCGCCCAAAGGUACGCUCAGAUUGGAUGGAAACCAAUCGUCGAGUGCAAUUGCAGAAGCGUGCUUGACUGUGAGACAGACAAGUCGAACAGGGACGAAAGUCGGGAAUAGUGAUCCGGCGGUGCCGAAUGGAAGGGCCGUCGCUCAACGGAUAAAAGCUACCCUGGGGAUAACAGGCUGAUCUCGCCCAAGAGUUCACAUCGACGGCGAGGUUUGGCACCUCGAUGUCGGCUCAUCGCAUCCUGGAGCUGGAUUCGGUUCCAAGGGUUGGGCUGUCCGCCCAUUAAAGCGGUACGCGAGCUGGGUUCAGAACGUCGUGAGACAGUUCGGUCCCUAUCUGUUGUGGGCGAAGGAGAUCUGCGGAGAGCUGUCCUCAGUACGAGAGGACCGGGAUGGACCUACCGCUGGUGCACCGGUUGUUCCGCCAGGGGCAUAGCCGGGUAGCUAAGUAGGGAAAGGAUAAGCGCUGAAAGCAUCUAAGCACGAAGCCUACUCCAAGAUGAGAUCUCCCAUUCGCAAGAAGUAAGACCCCUUAAAGACGAUAAGGUAGAUAGGCCAGGGAUGGAAGUGCAGUGAUGUACGGAGUUGACUGGUACUAAUCGGUCGAGGACUUAAUCAG